AUCUAUUAUCUGAUCCAUUCAUUUUUAGUCGACGAUGUAAGGUCUUAUGUGUGAUAUUUGUGGAUCUUGUUGAUGUUUCGGAUGUUUGUACGGCUUUGGUACAUGCUUGCCGGGCACACAUGCCGGAUGAUGCAGACUGAUUGUCGUGUGUGUGUGUGUGUGUGUGUGUGUGUGUGUGUGUGUGUGUGUGUGUGUGUGUGUGUGUGUGUGUGUGUGUGUGUGUGUGCGUGUGUGCGCGCCCCCAGGUAGUCUGAAUGUGAGCCAGUGGGGCAUCCGCGACUUUGACAGCUGCAUGGAGCCUUUUCACCAUGCAGUCGUCAUCUCAGAUAAUAUCCCCACGCUCUCUCUUUUCGACAAUUUGUGUAUGAAUAACCGAAUAAUUUCACCUCUUUGUUCCAUCCGCACUACCUCCAAACCAAAAUAAAGAUGCCUUUUAGUAUUAAAGUGGUAGAAAAUUACAGGUAAUUAUCUUUGACGGUAAAAACGCUGUAAUCAGCGGGCUACAUCAAAAAUUACCCUAAUUAUGCCUGCAUUUAUGAGAAAGAGGGGGAAAAAAGCCUCACUUGGAUAAAAACCCAGCAAAUUGUCCCAAAUAUCUCCUUCAUAUUGAACGCCACUGCAGCUGGCUGCUUUGUUCGGCAUCGAUCCCGCGGAGCUUGGCAUUUAACGGCCUGCAUUAGGACGGAGAGACGGCAGAAAACAUUUUGUCAAUACUUCCAAUAAUUGAGGGUGGAAUGACCUGCGUGCGGCGAGAGUCUUUGGAGGUGAAUGUAGGCAGCGGCGGUGCAGGGUCCCGGGUCCCCCCGACCGCCACCGCCACCACGACCACCAACCACCACGAGGGACUUUAAUCUCUCCGUCCCGUGAUAAUUCUCACUCAAGGGCAGCGCCUUCCUAUUGGUCAUCCGGGCGCAACGUCAUCAUGCAGGGCUGUGCGCUUCACGGAGACUUGAGCUGGAGUUAACCCACCUUACCAGCUCCGACUACAACUUCGAGGCGGGGGGAAUAAUAUACGGGAUGGGAAAGACGCCUAAUUCCCACAGACAAGCUGAGCUGCUUGGAAUUGCCCUAUCGCUUUUCACUUUCUUUUUCUGCCCAACCCAAACAACCAAAUUACGCACGAGAAUGCACAUUGUUGUGCACUAGCAUCACGAACCAGCAGCACAUAUGUGCUCAUUUGAUUUUUCCCAAUCGCGUCGCACUCUUAUUUUACUCCCUGAUAGGAAAAAGCAUUAACAUAUACAUUGUAUGGAAAAUAUAUAUCUAAGUAAAUAAAGAUGUGUGGUGUAUCCUAUCUUGACUUGUAGGACCAAGCAGCCGAUUUGUGUACAUUUAUUUCCACUAAUAACUCUUCAUGUUUGCACUGCCCCUAACGAUGAUCAUGAAAUAGAUUCGCCCCUCCCCCCCCUGCCCCCCUUUUGCAGCCCUCCCUGUUUACUAGAACAAUUUAUCCCAUCAAAUUGGGCUGACGAUUGAAAAGAAACAGGCACACGGCACAGCUAAUAAUUACAUUAACAAUAACAACAUCCCCAAAAUGCAAUGGGUGACUUGGGGAUUCCAAAAUAAUGUGUCAUCUUUUCUCACUAUAAUGAGGCCCGAGAGCUUCUUUACAAAAUCAAAUUACAUUUUAAAAUCAAAGAAUACCAUUUCUAUUUUUUUUUUCUCCUCUGCGGAGUGUAGCAUUAAAUCAUCUCAUAAAAAAGGCCAUGAAAAUACUGUAAUUACAUUCAGUCAAGGUACUGCGAAGACCUAUUUGAUUAGCGGGCACACUUUUCCUCAAAUUGCAGCCAUAAAAUUUAGAAUAAUUCCCCCGUAAUAAUGGUGGACUGGCUUUAUUUUGGGAGGUUGGAAUAAAAGUGGAUAUAGCAUAAAUUACACUCUAAUUACACGCCAGUGUCGCCUCAAUUAUCCUCUUAUCAAGAACGGUCGUCUCAACGCGGCGUUUAGUUUCACUUUUCCGCCUAACAAGAACUUGGUACCUUGCUAUUAUCGUCAACUCCGGUUGUUAUUUACUUUCUGCGAUUUAAAAGUACAACAACCCGGCUGCCGGAUCAUCAUUUUGACACCAGCAGGAGACCAGAUGAGAAGCACGCAGGCGGGCGAUGCUGCGACACAUCCACGGGGAUUUAUUUCCAACGUAGUUUUUUUUUUUUAAUUUUUAUUAUCGGAAUAAAAUAGACGGAUGGGAGGAGGGUUGAAGGUACGCCUCCAUGCAUCCCCUCAUGGCAGCUCCAAGCCACCCCUUUCCCCCUCCCAAUCCGUCUCCCCCUGGUUGGCUUCCACAGCUGUGGUGAGUGAGGGCGCAGAUGACCGGAGAUUUGGCCCCUGGGAGAGCGCCGAGCCAUCCUGGUGCUAUUAGACUGGUGGCUAAUAAUAGGUGUUUCAGACUCGGGGAAGAUCAAUCAGAGGGGAAUGGGGAAUGUUCAGGCCAGCGCUUUUUACACAUCGGCCCAGAUGGAUGAAAUUACACUUGUCAGUUUUUAGUUGCAUUACUCCCAAAUUGGUUGUCUACUCUUUUUUUUCACCCCCCUCCCACCUCUCGCUGCCUCAUUCCUGCUCUUGUUUUUCCUCCGUUUUUUUUUUUUUUUUUUUUGCCUUGGUUCAUGUGUCAAUGUCCUGCUAAAAGGAUUCAGCAGUGAAGUCCCUGUCAUUUUGUGCCUGGCUUCUCAAGGAACAACCCUGCAUAUUCACUUAAAGGAGAUUAUUUCCCUGUAAACAUUUUUCACGUUAUGGCCAAGCGCAUGAUUGUGGAAAAUGUGCAGAUGACAUUUUGUACGUGGAGUGUAUCAUCGAGAUGAAAACGUGUCAGGGAUAUUCAAAUAUUCUCUCAUGCUGUUUUUGCUGCUCGGUGUAAUUUGAAUGUAAUUCUGAGAAAACUUCAAUGGACUGUCAUUAUUUUUGCUUUAAAUGCCUUGCUAAUGUGGAAUUCAUUGAGAAACAUUUCCCUGUAUGAGAAAAGAAAAUUCUAAUGACCGUGUCAAAGAUAAAGUUCUUUACAA